UACAAAGUAUUUGAAAAGUCGUGC
ensembl:miRNA mir-85 ncRNA